rnacentral:rRNA from 1 species
AGCGGCGGACGGGUGAGUAUGGCGGGGGUAACCUGCCCUAUACACACGGAUAACAUACCGAAAGGUAUGCUAAUACGAGAUAAUAUAAGAGAUUCACAUGGAUUUCUUAUCAAAGCUGAGGCGGUAUAGGAUGGACCCGCGUCUGAUUAGCUAGUUGGUAAGGUAACGGCUUACCAAGGCGACGAUCAGUAGCCGACCUGAGAGGGUGAUCGGCCACAUUGGAACUGAGACACGGUCCAAACUCCUACGGGAGGCAGCAGUGGGGAAUAUUGCACAAUGGGCGAAAGCCUGAUGCAGCAACGCCGCGUGAGUGAUGAAGGCCUUCGGGUCGUAAAACUCUGUCCUCAAGGAAGAUAAUGACGGUACUUGAGGAGGAAGCCCCGGCUAACUACGUGCCAGCAGCCGCGGUAAUACGUAGGGGGCUAGCGUUAUCCGGAUUUACUGGGCGUAAAGGGUGCGUAGGUGGUCUCUUAAGUCAGGAGUGAAAGGCUACGGCUUAACCGUAGUAAGCUCUUGAAACUGGGAGACUUGAGUGCAGGAGAGGAAAGUGGAAUUCCUAGUGUAGCGGUGAAAUGCGUAGAUAUUAGGAGGAACACCAGUAGCGAAGGCGGCUUUCUGGACUGUAACUGACACUGAGGCACGAAAGCGUGGGGAGCAAACAGGAUUAGAUACCCUGGUAGUCCACGCCGUAAACGAUGAUUACUAGGUGU